rnacentral:lncRNA from 1 species
UAUCAUUUAGUUGAGCUAACACUAUAAUAAAGUAAAUGUUAAAGUCACACAAAGGAAUAGGUGAUAACUAUUUUGGUACAAGGUCGAGGACAAGUGGAAUGUUUGGCUUAGGUGGCAUCACUAUAGAUAAUUCCCCAACUAUUUCACUGUUAAGUAUAUCGGCUACAUAUGUGAUCAUGAAAAUGAUACACAAUACCCUCCUCUAUGCAAAGAGAGAAGACAAUAAAGUUUUUGAUCGUGCUAGUACAUUUCUCAAAAAAUCUUUUCACUACAU